GAUUUUGCAGCCUUUCUGAAACUCUUUAGCUCUUUUUAAAAUCAUAGAUACACCCAUGGAGACCAGUCUUAAACAGCAGCUAGGGUUUCCAUUUAUUUAAGCAGUAAGUCAGCUGAAGAUAAGUUGCCGUUCCUCCUGUAUACAUCCAUAAUUCUGGGGGAAAAUAUUUUCAUUCUGCCUUUCAAAACAAGGUAUGUAUCAUAUUCUAAAGGAUUGUUGUAAGAAAAUAAGGUAAUUUAUAGAAGAAAAUGAGGUAAUUUAUUUGGCCAGUGUGGUUCAUGCCUAGCUAAGUU